rnacentral:rRNA from 1 species
UACGUAGGGUCCGAGCGUUGUCCGGAAUUACUGGGCGUAAAGAGCUCGUAGGUGGUUUGUCGCGUUGUUCGUGAAAACUCACAGCUCAACUGUGGGCGUGCGGGCGAUACGGGCAGACUAGAGUACUGCAGGGGAGACUGGAAUUCCUGGUGUAGCGGUGGAAUGCGCAGAUAUCAGGAGGAACACCGGUGGCGAAGGCGGGUCUCUGGGCAUUACCUGACGCUGAGGAGCGAAAGCGUGGGGAGCAAACAGG